GAUGAACGCUGACAGAAUGCUUAACACAUGCAAGUCGACUCGAGUCUUCGGACUUGGGUGGCGCACGGGUGAGUAACGCGUAAAGAACUUGCCUCUUAGACCGGGACAACAUCUGGAAACGGAUGCUAAUACCGGAUAUUAUGGUUUUUUCGCAUGGAGGAAUCAUGAAAGCUAGAUGCGCUAAGAGAGAGCUUUGCGUCCCAUUAGCUGGUUGGCGAGGUAACGGCCCACCAAGGCAAUGAUGGGUAGCCGGCCUGAGAGGGUGAACGGCCACAAGGGGACUGAGACACGGCCCUUACUCCUACGGGAGGCAGCAGUGGGGAAUAUUGGACAAUGGACCGCAAGUCUGAUCCAGCAAUUCUGUGUGCACGAUGACGUUUUUCGGAAUGUAAAGUGCUUUCAGUCGGGAAGAAGUCAGUGACGGUACCGACAGAAGAAGCGACGGCUAAAUACGUGCCAGCAGCCGCGGUAAUACGUAUGUCGCAAGCGUUAUCCGGAUUUAUUGGGCGUAAAGCGCGUCUAGGCGGCAAGGAAAGUCUGAUGUGAAAAUGCGGAGCUCAACUCCGUAUGGCGUUGGAAACUGCCUUACUAGAGUACUGGAGAGGUAGGCGGAACUACAAGUGUAGAGGUGAAAUUCGUAUAUAUUUGUAGGAAUGCCGAUGGGGGAAGCCAGCCUACUGGACAGAUACUGACGCUCAAGCGCGAAAGCGUGUGUAGCAAACAGG
rnacentral:rRNA from 1 species